AUUGAACGCUGGCGGCAGGCUUAACACAUGCAAGUCGAGCGGAGAUGAGGUGCUUGCACCUUAUCUUAGCGGCGGACGGGUGAGUAAUGCUUAGGAAUCUGCCUAUUAGUGGGGGACAACAUUCCGAAAGGAAUGCUAAUACCGCAUACGUCCUACGGGAGAAAGCAGGGGAUCUUCGGACCUUGCGCUAAUAGAUGAGCCUAAGUCGGAUUAGCUAGUUGGUGGGGUAAAGGCCUUCCAAGGCGACGAUCUGUAGCGGGUCUGAGAGGAUGAUCCGCCACACUGGGACUGAGACACGGCCCAGACUCCUACGGGAGGCAGCAGUGGGGAAUAUUGGACAAUGGGCGCAAGCCUGAUCCAGUCAUGCCGCGUGUGUGAAGAAGGCCUUAUGGUUGUAAAGCACUUUAAGCGAGGAGGAGGCUACUUUAGUUAAUACCUAGAGAUAGUGGACGUUACUCGCAGAAUAAGCACCGGCUAACUCUGUGCCAGCAGCCGCCGCGGUA
rnacentral:rRNA from 1 species